rnacentral:rRNA from 1 species
AACGAACGCUGGCGGCAUGCCUAACACAUGCAAGUCGAACGAACCCUUCGGGGUGAGUGGCGCACGGGUGCGUAACACGUGGGAACCUGCCCUUAGGUUCGGAAUAACAGUUAGAAAUGACUGCUACUACCGGAUAAUGUCUUCGGACCAAAGAUUUAUCGCCUUUGGAUGGGCCCGCGUAGGAUUAGCUAGUUGGUGAGGUAAAGGCUCACCAAGGCGACGAUCCUUAGCUGGUCUUAGAGGAUGAUCAGCCACACUGGGACUGAGACACGGCCCAGACUCCUACGGGAGGCAGCAGUGGGGAAUAUUGGACAAUGGGCGAAAGCCUGAUCCAGCAAUGCCGCGUGAGUGAUGAAGGCCUUAGGGUUGUAAAGCUCUUUUACCCGGGAUGAUAAUGACAGUACCGGGAGAAUAAGCUCCGGCUAACUCCGUGCCAGCCGCCGCGGUAAAAC